rnacentral:rRNA from 1 species
AACGAACGUUAGCGGCGCGCCUAACACAUGCAAGUCGAGCGAGAAAGGGAGCAAUCCCCGGUACAGCGGCGCACGGGUGAGUAACACGUAGGUAAUCUGCCUCCGAGUGGGGGAUAACCUUCCGAAAGGAGGGCUAACACCGCAUAAGACCACGACCUCGAGAGAGGAUGAGGUCAAAGCCGGCCACUAUACAUAAGCUGGCGCUUGGAGAUGAGCCUGCGGCCCAUCAGCUAGGUGGCAGGGUAACGGCCUACCAAGGCGAAGACGGGUAGCUGGUCUGAGAGGAUGCUCAGCCACACUGGACCUGAGCCACGGUCCAAACUCCUACGGGGGGCAGCAGUGGGGAAUCUUGCGCAAUGGGCGAAAGCCGGAUGCAGCGACGCCGCGUGAGUGAUGAAGGCCUUCGGGUUGUAAAGCUCUGUGGAGGGGGAAAAUUAAGGCAUGGCUAAUAUCCAUGUCGAUGACGGUACCCCUUUAGCAAGCACCGGCUAACUCUGUGCCAGCCGCCGCCGUAACAC